rnacentral:rRNA from 1 species
GAGCGGCGUACGGGUGCGGAACACGUGUGCAACCUGCCUUUAUCUGGGGGAUAGCCUUUCGAAAGGAAGAUUAAUACCCCAUAAUAUACUGGAUGGCAUCAUUCGGUAUUGAAAACUCCGGUGGAUAGAGAUGGGCACGCGCAAGAUUAGAUAGUUGGUGAGGUAACGGCUCACCAAGUCUGCGAUCUUUAGGGGGCCUGAGAGGGUGAUCCCCCACACUGGUACUGAGACACGGACCAGACUCCUACGGGAGGCAGCAGUGAGGAAUAUUGGACAAUGGGUGAGAGCCUGAUCCAGCCAUCCCGCGUGAAGGACGACGGCCCUAUGGGUUGUAAACUUCUUUUGUAUAGGGAUAAACCUACCCUCGUGAGGGUAGCUGAAGGUACUAUACGAAUAAGCACCGGCUAACUCCGUGCCAGCAGCCGCGGUAAUACGGAGGGUGCAAGCGUUAUCCGGAUUUAUUGGGUUUAAAGGGUCCGUAGGCGGAUCUGUAAGUCAGUGGUGAAAUCUCACAGCUUAACUGUGAAACUGCCAUUGAUACUGCAGGUCUUGAGUGUUGUUGAAGUAGCUGGAAUAAGUAGUGUAGCGGUGAAAUGCAUAGAUAUUACUUAGAACACCAAUUGCGAAGGCAGGUUACUAAGCAACAACUGACGCUGAUGGACGAAAGCGUGGGGAGCGAACAGGAUUAGAUACCCUGGUAGUCCACGCCGUAAACGAUGCUAACUCGUUUUUGGAGCGCAAGCUUCAGAGACUAAGCGAAAGUGAUAAGUUAGCCACCUGGGGAGUACGAACGCAAGUUUGAAACUCAAAGGAAUUGACGGGGGCCCGCACAAGCGGUGGAUUAUGUGGUUUAAUUCGAUGAUACGCGAGGAACCUUACCAAGGCUUAAAUGGGAAAUGACAGGUUUAGAAAUAGACUUUUCUUCGGACAUUUUUCAAGGUGCUGCAUGGUUGUCGUCAGCUCGUGCCGUGAGGUGUUAGGUUAAGUCCUGCAACGAGCGCAACCCCUGUCACUAGUUGCCAUCAUUAAGUUGGGGACUCUAGUGAGACUGCCUACGCAAGUAGAGAGGAAGGUGGGGAUGACGUCAAAUCAUCACGGCCCUUACGCCUUGGGCCACACACGUAAUACAAUGGCCGGUACAGAGGGCAGCUACACUGCGAAGUGAUGCAAAUCUCGAAAGCCGGUCUCAGUUCGGAUUGGAGUCUGCAACUCGACUCUAUGAAGCUGGAAUCGCUAGUAAUCGCGCAUCAGCCAUGGCGCGGUGAAUACGUUCCCGGGCCUUGUACACACCGCCCGUCAAGCC